rnacentral:rRNA from 1 species
UACGUAGGGGGCAAGCGUUGUCCGGAUUUAUUGGGCGUAAAGAGCGUGUAGGCGGCCAGAUAGGUCGGUUGUGAAAACUGGAGGCUUAACCUCCAGACGUCGACCGAAACCAUCUGGCUAGAGUCCGGAAGAGGAGAAUGGAAUUCCUGGUGUAGCGGUGAAAUGCGCAGAUAUCAGGAAGAACACCCGUGGCUAAGGCGGUUCUCUAGUACGGUACUGACGCUGAGACGCGAAAGCGUGGGGAGCGAACAGG